AGAGAGAGACAUGCGCGCAUAUCAAUAAGCGGAGGAAAAGAAACUAGCAAGGAUUCCCUUAGUAACGGCGAGUGAAGCGGGAAGAGCUCAAAUUUGAAAUCUUCAAGGUUUUACCUUGACGAAUUGUAGUUUAAAGAAGUGUUUUCUGCUGAAGUUUUGGUAAAAGUUCUUUGGAAUAGGACAUCAUAGAGGGUGAGAAUCCCGUAUUUGACCAUUAUUUUCAGCUUUGUGAUACACUUUCAAAGAGUCGGAUUGUUUGGGAAUGCAGUCCAAAAUGGGUGGUAAAUUUCAUCUAAAGCUAAAUAUUGGCGAGAGACCGAUAGCGAACAAGUACCGUGAGGGAAAGAUGAAAAGAACUUUGAAAAGAGAGUUAAACAGUACGUGAAAUUGUCAAAAGGGAAGCGUUUGACACCAGUGUUGUUUUCUCGAAAAUCAAUUAAAAAUGGCUCGAUUUUGUAUUGCUUGAGACCUUAAAAGCUCACUGUACAUUUUUCGUGUCUUUUUUAAUGCACUUUUCGUUUAACAAGUCAACAUCAGUUUCUUUUGUUGUAAAAGGGUCAUUGGAAGGUGGCUUUCUUUUCGGAGAAAGUGUUUAUAGCCUUUGGCCUCUGCAUUCGGAGAGACUGAGGUCUGCAGCGUAGACUCUUCGGGGUUAGAUACAUCUGUGCUAAGUUAUAGCUUUUUAUAGACAACUUGUUGACUAUAAUUAGUCUUGUAGCUUACUCGCUUAUGCUAUUUUACCUACGCUUAGGAUGUUGAAGAUGUAGCACAUCAU
rnacentral:rRNA from 1 species